AUUGAACGCUGGCGGCAUGCCUUACACAUGCAAGUCGAACGGUAACGGGCCUUCGGGUGCCGACGAGUGGCGAACGGGUGAGUAAUGUAUCGGAACGUACCUUUCAGUGGGGGAUAACGUAGCGAAAGUUACGCUAAUACCGCAUAUUCUGUGAGCAGGAAAGCAGGGGAUCGCAAGACCUUGCGCUGAUUGAGCGGCCGAUAUCAGAUUAGCUAGUUGGUGAGGUAAAGGCUCACCAAGGCGACGAACUGUAGCGGGUCUGAGAGGAUGAUCCGCCACACUGGAACUGAGACACGGUGCAGACUCCUACGGGAGGCAGCAGUGGGGAAUUUUGGACAAUGGGGGCAACCCUGAUCCAGCCAUGCCGCGUGAGUGAAGAAGGCCUUCGGGUUGUAAAGCUCUUUCGGCCGGGAAGAAAUCGUAUCAGCUAAUACCUGGUGCGGAUGACGGUACCGGCAUAAGAAGCACCGGCUAACUACGUGCCAGCCGCCGCGGUAACAC
rnacentral:rRNA from 1 species